rnacentral:rRNA from 1 species
CCACCUUCACCUCGGAGUAGGGAGCUGAUAUCAGGCGCACACCCCGCCCAAGACAUCUAGCUAUGCCACACCCACAAGGGCCCCCAGCAGUGAUUAACAUUAAAAAUGAACGACAGUUCGAUUUAGCCAACUAGAAUAGAGCCGGCUAAUCUGGUGCCAGCCGCCGCGGUUACACCACGUGGCUCAAAUUGACCCCAACACGGCGUAAAGCGUGAUUAAAGAAACAAAAUACCGGGGUUAAACUUAAAUUAAGCUGUAGUACGCUUGUUUAAAAGAAACCCUAUUCGAAAGAUACCCCGACCCACCAACUUGAACUCACGAUAAUUAGGAGACAAACUGGGAUUAGAUACCCCACUAUGCCUAAUCACAAACUUUAACUUACACCCCAUCGCCAGGGAACUACGAGCAAAGCUUAAAACCCAAAGGACUUGACGGUGCCCCAUACCCCCCUAGAGGAGCCUGUCCUAUAACCGAUACCCCCCGUUCAACCUCACCACUUUUAGUUUUCAGCCUGUAUACUUCCGUCGCCAGCUUACCGCAUGAGCGAAUUAAGUGAGCUUAAUGUCACCCGUCAAUACGUCAGGUCAAAGUGCAGCAAAUAAAGUGGCAAGAGAUGGGCUACACUCUCUACCGUAGAAAACACGAAAGAUUAUCUGAAACAAUAAUCAGAAGGCGGAUUUAGUAGUAAGAAGAAAAUAGUAUAUUCCUCUUAACUCGGCACUGGGGUGUGUACACACCGCCCGUCACCCUCUUCAACAAAACCUCCCAGUU